CGAGGCGAACCGGGGGAACUGAAACAUCUAAGUACCCCGAGGAAAAGAAAUCAACCGAGAUUCCCCCAGUAGCGGCGAGCGAACGGGGAGCAGCCCAGAGUCUGAAUCAGCUUGUGUGUUAGUGGAACGGUCUGGAAAGUCCGACGGUACAGGGUGAUAGUCCCGUACACCAAAAUGCACAGGCUGUGAACUCGAAGAGUAGGGCGGGACACGUGGUAUCCUGUCUGAAUAUGGGGGGACCAUCCUCCAAGGCUAAAUACUCCUGACUGACCGAUAGUGAACCAGUACCGUGAGGGAAAGGCGAAAAGAACCCCGGCGAGGGGAGUGAAAAAGAACCUGAAACCGUGUACGUACAAGCAGUGGGAGCACCUUCGGGUGUGACUGCGUACCUUUUGUAUAAUGGGUCAGCGACUUAUAUUCUGUAGCAAGGUUAACCGUAUAGGGGAGCCGCAGGGAAACCGAGUCUUAACUGGGCGUUAAGUUGCAGGGUAUAGACCCGAAACCCGGUGAUCUAGCCAUGGGCAGGUUGAAGGUUGGGUAACACUAACUGGAGGACCGAACCGACUAAUGUUGAAAAAUUAGCGGAUGACUUGUGGCUGGGGGUGAAAGGCCAAUCAAACCGGGAGAUAGCUGGUUCUCCCCGAAAGCU
rnacentral:rRNA from 1 species